GACGUAGGGCGCGAGCGUUGUCCGGAUUUAUUGGGCGUAAAGAGCUCGUAGGCGGCUUGUCGCGUCAACUGUGAAAACCCGUGGCUCAACCAUGUGGUCUGCAGUCGAUACGGGCAGGCUAGAAUUCGGUAGGGGAGACUGGAAUUCCUGGUGUAGCGGUGAAAUGCGCAGAUAUCAGGAGGAACACCAAUAGCGAAGGCAGCUCGCUGGGACGUUACUGACACUGAGGCGCGAAAGCGUGGGGAGCGAACAGG
rnacentral:rRNA from 1 species